GACGAACGCUGGCGGCGUGCUUAACACAUGCAAGUCGAGCGGUAAGGCCCUUUCGGGGGUACACGAGCGGCGAACGGGUGAGUAACACGUGGGUGACCUGCCCUCAGCUCUGGGAUAAGCCUGGGAAACCGGGUCUAAUACCGGAUAUGACUCCAUGACGCAUGUUGUGGGGUGGAAAGCCUUGUGCGGCUGAGGAUGGGCCCGCGGCUUAUCAGCUUGUUGGUGGGGUGAUGGCCUACCAAGGCGACGACGGGUAGCCGGCCUGAGAGGGCGACCGGCCACACUGGGACUGAGACACGGCCCAGACUCCUACGGGAGGCAGCAGUGGGGAAUCUUGCGCAAUGGGCGAAAGCCUGACGCAGCGACGCCGCGUGAGGGAUGACGGCCUGG
rnacentral:rRNA from 1 species